rnacentral:rRNA from 1 species
UACGGAGGGUGCAAGCGUUGCUCGGAAUUAUUGGGCGUAAAGGGUAGGUAGGUGGUCUCAUUUGUCUGGGGUGAAAGCCUUGAGCUUAACUCAAGAAGUGCCCCGGAAACGGUGAGACUAGAGUCCUGGAGAGGGUCGUGGAAUUCCCGGUGUAGCGGUGAAAUGCGUAGAGAUCGGGAGGAACACCAGAGGCGAAGGCGGCGACCUGGACAGGCACUGACACUCAACUACGAAAGCGUGGGGAGCAAACAGG